AGAGAACCCUGGGAAGAAGAAAGGCAGAGAGGCCAAAGAAAGGCAGAGUGGCCAGCCAGACAAGGAGGAAACAGGAUGGCAAAAGAGAGAUGAGGUCUUGGUUGAAAUGGGGACCUCAAGUCACAGUUGAACACCCAAGCUGUCCUACACACUCCGGGGGGUGCUUUACGGCAGCUACUGGCAGAUUCACGCUGAAGCAUCCUGCUGAAGCAUCUUAGAGCAGGCCUGAGAGAUGCAGAGGUGGAAGGAGUGUGGUACCCAGUUCAUGCCUUAGCUCUGCUCUCAUCCUCUUCCCUGGAGAUCUGGCCCCAAGAAGCUGACACCCCCAUAACAACAGGCCACUGCGCCUCUGGUCAUGAGUCACCGUCUGCACACCUCGGACAGCAGGCAGAAUUUAGCUAGGCGGGGAAAACUAAACUGAAUGCUGGGAGAAAGAAGGCGGAGUCAGAGAGAACUCAUGUGCCCCGCCGGAACUUCACUUUACCCGACGCUUCCAAUGUGGAAACCGUGUCUGGACGCAGGUCUCUGCAGGAGGACUUUGGCUCCCGGAGGGCGGUUCAUGUUGACCCAUUAUCUCCUGGCAGCCGGUAGGACUGUGCAGAGGUAACAGGACUGCAGGGAACUGUCUAAGGCUCAGACUAUCUUUAAAAUGGUGUGUGUGUGUGUGUGUGUGUGUGUGUGUGUGUGUGUGUGUGUGCGCGCGCGCGCGCGCAUUUCAGUUGGGGACCUUGUGCUAAAGCCUGAGCAUCUUAUUGGCUUGAAGGGACUAAUGAGGUGCUUCCCUUUCAUGCCUGCCCUUGUAUGGAGUGGCUGACAGUCCAACUCUGUCUACUUAGCCAGACUGUAUGACAGAAAAAUCACUAUGGUGCACUCCUUUAGUCUCAGCACUUAGGAGGCAGAGGCAGGGGGAUCUCUGUGAGUUUGAGACCAGCCUGGUCUACAAAGAGAGUUCCAGGACAGCCAGGGCUGCACAGAGAAGCCUUGUCUUAACAACAAAAGUCACGAUGGCAUCUGUGUCUUCAGCACCACCGUACUCAUACUGCCCGGAGUGGAGAAACAUCUGCCCAUCAUGGGAAGAACAGAUCGGAAUGUGGAGCUCGGCUACCUGUCCUGUGCAGCCUUAAUUGUCAUUGUGACAUAGCCUAAGGCUAUCUGAGUGGAGUCACAAAGGAGCAAUUGCCUGGAUCAGAUUGGCCUGUGGACCUGCUUGUGGGGCGUGGUCUUGGUUGUUAAUUGGUGUAGGAGCGCCCAACCCACUGUGAGUGGCACCAUUCCCUACACGAGUGGUCCUGGACUGUUGUAGAAUAUUAUUUUAAGGUUGCUUUUGUUUAUACUCUGGAACAUUUAUUUAAUGAUACAAAGAUGCAUUUGAUUAAAUAAAAUUCACCUGUAGUCAGGAGGCUGCUGCUAGCUGACACUGGUAGGGAGGAGCCAAGUGGAGAAGGGAUUUUAAGGAGGGGCCAGGAGAAACAAGAGCACUUUUGGAGAGACUCAAGGAGAGGAGGUGAGCUGUUUGCUAUUCAGCCUCUCUGAGAAGCAGAACUCCACCUAAAACCUUGACUCUCAAGUUCUUUAGAGGGACAGAGGUUUAAUUAAAUUCCUUGGUAGUUUUGAAAGAGUUGGUGCCUGGGGGAACAGAAUUCCUUCAGGCCACAGGCCUAACCACUGCUGAUAGUGGCGGAGUUGGAAUUGCUGGUUCGGACAGCCAUGGAUUAAAAGGCAGCAACAGUUGCAAAAAAGAGGACAAUACUGAACUGCACAAGAAAGCCAGCUGAACGUGAGCCUGUGAGUGAGCCAGCAUGCAUCCUCCUCAUGGUUCCUGCCCUGACUUCCCUCAGUGAUGGCCUGUGACUAGAAUGUACGAGCACUGUGAACUAAACCCUUCUCUGUCCUAAGUUGCUUUCCGUCAAUGUUUAGACAACAACAGAAGUAAAGCCAGGACCUGCCCCAUCCCUACCUCUCAACCCAUAGUCCCUGCCUGUUUCUUGUAGUGCUGAGGGAACCCAGGGCCUCAUUCACGCCGGACCAGUGUUCCACCAUUGAGCCAUGCCCCGGUCCUCACUCGCUCUUGAAGGGAAAGACAUUUGACCCGGGUUGCAGUGGCUAGACCUCCCGGGCACUGUGCUAAUGAAGUAAGCUCCUUUUGGAGGGACACAGCAUGAAUACAUACCUGGCAUCUGGAGCACUCAGCUACUGAAACAGGGUGGGGGGGGGCUGUAGUUGUGGAGUGGGAGGCUGUUUCAGAAUGCAGGGCUUGGAAAAGUUCUGGGGAUGAAUGGUGGGAAGGAUCACGGAUGUGACUAUCCCUUGAAAUUAUCCACUGAAAAGUGGGUUAGAUAGUUCAGUUCAGUGAUUCUCAAUCUGUGGGUCACGACCCCGAAUGACGCUUUCACAGGGGUCACAAAUCAGACAUCCUGCCUAUUGGAUACUUACAUUCCAAUUAAUAGCGAUAGCAAAAUUACAGUUAUUAAGUAGCAAUGAAAACAGUUUUAUGGUUUUGGAGGUCACCACAGCAUUAGGAACUGCACGUAUUAAAAAAGCGUCGCAGCAUUAGGAAGGUAGAGAACCACCGUUUUAAUUAACGGAAGACAGCCUGCUGAAUGCUGUGCAGAUCUACCACCCCAGCCUCCGUUGGAGUCUCUGCAUGCUCACGGCCAGGAGGAGAAAGCCAUAGGUCCUCUGCAAGAGCAGCCAGGGCUCUCAAGGGCCAUUGGCUGAAGGAAGUUCCCCAUCAGCCUCUUCAACCUUUUUGACUGUGAUGGGCAAGUCACCUCUGCUUCAGUGUUUCUUACGCCUCUCUGGACUCUUCAGUUUCUAUUGGCUACCAGGUUCUCCUUCAAAAUGGCCUCCUGAGCUGGGCGGCAGUGGCGCACGUCUUUAAUCCCAGCACUCAGGAGGCAGAGGCUGGCGGAUCUCUGUGAGUUUGAGUCCAGCCUGGUCUACAAGAGCUAGUUCCAGGACAGGUACCAAAGCUACAGAAAAACCCUGUCUCAAAAAAACAAAACAAACAACAAACCAAAAUGGCCUCCUGGUUCUUGGCCAUCUUUUCGCCAGUGCCUACAGAAGAUCCCAUGAGGUUUGGCAUCUCAACAAGCCCCGCCCCAGGCCUCCCAACAGCACCAUUUCCCAAGAGAAUCGGAGGUUGUCCUAUCUGUCUUAUGCCCUCUUCCCUGUAGCCUGGCUUUAUUUCUUCACCUCCUUAGCUCUGAGAGGAUUAAAGUGUGAAACUCAGUACCCAGUACCUGCCCACCCCGCCCUGCCUCGUGCACUGCCUUUGGCUUCUCCUCCUCUCCCAACAGGAACAGACUAGAUCCCGCCUCAGGCCCUUCGUGCCUACUGCUCUACUACCCAGGAUGCUCUGCUUUCCUUGGUGACUUCUCAACCACUUAAUUUUGUUUCUGAUUUCACUCCCUCUUGACUGGGUGUGGUGGCACAUGCCUUUAAUUAGGUGGGGCUCAACGACACUGAGGCCAACCUG